GACGAACGCUGGCGGCGUGCUUAACACAUGCAAGUCGAACGGAAAGGCCCUGCUUUUGUGGGGUGCUCGAGUGGCGAACGGGUGAGUAACACGUGAGUAACCUGCCCUUGACUUUGGGAUAACUUCAGGAAACUGGGGCUAAUACCGGAUAGGAGCUCCUGCUGCAUGGUGGGGGUUGGAAAGUUUCGGCGGUUGGGGAUGGACUCGCGGCUUAUCAGCUUGUUGGUGGGGUAGUGGCUUACCAAGGCUUUGACGGGUAGCCGGCCUGAGAGGGUGACCGGCCACAUUGGGACUGAGGUUCGGCCCAGACUCCUACGGGAGGCAGCAGUGGGGAAUAUUGCACAAUGGGCGGAAGCCUGAUGCAGCAACGCCGCGUGCGGGAUGACGGCCUUCGGGUUGUAAACCGCUUUCGCCUGUGACGAAGCGUGAGUGACGGUAAUGGGUAAAGAAGCACCGGCUAACUACGUG
rnacentral:rRNA from 1 species